UGCUUACACAUGCAAGUUGAACGAAUAGUAGCAAUACUAUGAGUGGCAAACGGGUGAGUAAUACGUAGGAAUCUACCCUGUAGUAUGGAACAACAGUUGGAAACGACUGCUAAUACCAUAUACGCUCUUUUAGAGGAAAGAUUUAUCGCUAUAGGAUGAGCCUGCGCUAAAUUAGGUUGUUGGUAGGGUAAUGGCCUACCAAGCCGAUGAUUUAUAGCUGGUCUGAGAGGACGAUCAGCCACACUGGAACUGAGACACGGUCCAGACUCCUACGGGAGGCAGCAGUGAGGAAUAUUGGACAAUGGGCGCAAGCCUGAUCCAGCAAUGUCGCGUGAAUGAUGAAGGCCUUAGGGUUGUAAAGUUCUUUCGGUAGGGAAGAAAAUGACGGUACCUACAGAAGAAGCUCCGGCUAACUCCGUGCCAGCAGCCGCGGUAAUACGGGGGGAGCUAGCGUUUUUCGGAUUUACUGGGCGUAAAGGGCGCGUAGGCGGUUAAUAAAGUUGAAAGUGAAAUCCCCGGGCUUAACCUGGGAACUGCUUUCAAAACUCAUUGACUAGAGAACGAUAGAGGAUAACAGAAUUCCUAGUGUAGAGGUGAAAUUCUUAGAUAUUAGGAGGAAUACCGGUGGCGAAGGCGGUUAUCUGGGUCGUUUCUGACGCUGAGGCGCGAAAGCGUGGGGAGCAAACAGGAUUAGAUACCCUGGUAGUCCACGCUGUAAACGAUGAGUGUUAGGUGUUGGGGUCGCAAGACUUCAGUGCCGCAGCUAACGCAUUAAACACUCCGCCUGGGGAGUAAGAUCGCAAGAUUAAAACUCAAGGAAUUGACGGGGACCUGCACAAGUGGUGGAACAUGCGGUUUAAUUCGAUGCUACNCGAAAACCUUACCAACUCUUGACAUG
rnacentral:rRNA from 1 species